ensembl:lncRNA
GCAGGCUCUGUGGGUAUUGGAUGACAUACUACUCUUUUCAGUGUUCAGUCAAAACUGCAAAAACCUGACAUCAUGGCUGGUUUGGAGUCCAAAUAUAGCACAUGAACUGAAAUCCUCUCUAAAUUUAACCUGUGAUGUCAUUGUCAUCAUGUUUUACAGCUGGCUGCAGUCUGUCUUACUCAAGGAACGGUACAGAGGUUUCUGAAUAAAUCUGUUUCAUGUCAUGGGAAUGUGCAGCAAAACAAGUCAGAGCUGUGAUUCUUAUGAAGUAUGUGAUGACAUAAGCCCCAUUAUUUGUGCAGUUUUUGGCAAUUCCCACAUGAUGCUCCACACAUCCAUCCAGUUUAGUCCAAAGAAGAGUCUGAUUGCUUCCCAGAGCACACAUCAUGAUGCAUCUUUAGGGGACUGCUGUAAUCGAGGUCAGACAGACUCGGUUCUUGACUUCUGUUCUCAAGGAGUUGUUCUGUAAGAAAUGCAUCGAUAAACCUACAUAAUAACCUUGUUUUUACUCCAUAUUAUCGCUAUAGCAGACUAUAUGAGCCAUAAAAUCCUGAUGGAUCAUAUGUGAUACUCAACAAAAAACAUAUGCAAACUUUUCUUUUUUUUAUUUUGUCUAAAGGUUCAAUAAACUGAUCCAUUGAAAAAAUAAAAAAGGAAAAGAAAAGAAAAAACGGACUAUUGUGCCAUAUCUCAGGCUUUACAAGGUUAAUUAAACGAGUUUAUUGUCAGGAUUGCUCGUCUCAUGUGAAUUGAUGUGAAUUACAUGUAUGUGAAAGUUCAUACUUCAGUGGCCUUCUUGUUUUAGCAACAUUUCCUAACACAUAAUAUAUAAUGAGUAAUAAUGAAAUAUUUG